rnacentral:rRNA from 1 species
UACGGGAGGCAGCAGUGGGGAAUAUUGCACAAUGGGCGCAAGCCUGAUGCAGCCAUGCCGCGUGUAUGAAGAAGGCCUUCGGGUUGUAAAGUACUUUCAGUCGUGAGGAAGGUGUUAAGGUUAAUAACCUUAGCAAUUGACGUUAGCGACAGAAGAAGCACCGGCUAACUCCGUGCCAGCAGCCGCGGUAAUACGGAGGGUGCGAGCGUUAAUCGGAAUUACUGGGCGUAAAGGGCACGCAGGCGGUUAAUUAAGUUGGAUGUGAAAUCCCCGGGCUUAACCUGGGAAUGGCAUUCAAGACUGGUUAGCUAGAGUCUUGUAGAGGGGGUAGAAUUCCAUGUGUAGCGGUGAAAUGCGUAGAGAUGUGGAGGAAUACCGGGUGGCGAAGGCGGCCCCUGGGACAAAGACUGACGCUCAUGUGCGAAAGCGUGGGGAGCGAAACAGGGAUUAGAU